UUCAUGCGUCUAGAAAAACUGCCAACGAUAAGUUGGAGGAAGGUGAGGAUGACGUCAAGUCAGCAUGCCCCUUACACCCUGGGCGACACACGUGCUACAAUGGUUAAGACAAUGGGAUGCUAUUUCGCGAGAAUGCGCAAAACUCAAAAACUUAAUCUCAGUUCGGAUUGCAGACUGCAACUCGUCUGCAUAAAGUUGGAAUCGCUAGUAAUCGCUGGUCAGCCAUACAGCGGUGAAUACGUUCUCGGGCCUUGUACACACCGCCCGUCACGUUAGGAAAGCUGGUCACACCCGAAGUCAUUACUUUAACCAAUAGGAAGAGGGUGCCGAAGGUGGGGCGAGUAAUUGGAACGAAGUCGUAACAAGGUAACCGUACUGGAAGGUGCGGUUGGAUCACCUCCUUU
rnacentral:rRNA from 1 species